GGCAGAGUUACUGGCAGUGCAUAGCUCAGAGCAUACUGGCAGUGCGGAGCUUAGAGCAGGGUUACUGGCAGUGCAGAGCUCAGGGUAGAGUUAGUGGCAGUGCAGAGCUCAGAGCAGGCUUGGUGUUUCAGGUGGGUUAAAGAUAAUGCAGAACAGGGAUGCUGUUUGUGUAGAUCUUGAAUUACAGACAGCAUAGUUGCAAAACAAGUAAAGAGCAACAUUAUCAUAGGGUUUACAGAGAGAGGAGAGAGCAGUGUGUGGUAUAUCGAGAGUGCAGAGCCAGUGGUGCAGAGUUAGCAGGGAUGCUGAGCACACAGUGCAGGCAAGGGACGGUGACAGUGCAGACUGAGAGCAGGGACAGUGAGAGUGCAGACUGAGUGCAGGGACAGUGAGAGUGCAGUGCAGACUGAGUGCAGAGACAGUGAGAGUGCAGACUGAGUGCAGGGACAGUGAGAGUGCAGACUGAGAGCAGGGACAGUGAGAGUGCAGACUGAGUGCAGGGACAGUGAGAGUGCAGACUGAGAGCAGGGACAGUGAGAGUGCAGUGCAGACUGAGUGCAGAGACAGUGAGAGUGCAGACUGAGUGCAGGGACAGUGAGAGUGCAGACUGAGUACAGGGACAGUGAGAGUGCAGAAUGAGAGCAGGGACAGUGAGAGUGCAGUCUGAGAGCAGGGACAGUGAGAGUGCAGUGCAGACUGAGAGCAGGGACAGUGAGAGUGCAGACUGAGAGCAGGGACAGUGAGAGUGCAGUCUGAGAGCACGGACAGUGAGAGUGCAGACUGAGAGCAGGGACAGUGAGAGUGCAGACUGAGAGCAGGGACAGUGAGAGUGCAGUGCAGACUGAGAGCAGGGACAGUGAGAGUGCAGACUGAGAGCAGGGACAGUUAGAGUGCAGUGCAGACUGAGUGCAGAGACAGUGAGAGUGCAGACUGAGUGCAGGGACAGUGAGAGUGCAGACUGAGUGCAGGGACAGUGAGAGUGCAGACUGAGAGCAGGGACAGUGAGAGUGCAGUCUGAGAGCAGGGACAGUGAGAGUGCAGUGCAGACUGAGAGCAGGGACAGUGAGAGUGCAGACUGAGAGCAGGGACAGUGAGAGUGCAGUCUGAGAGCACGGACAGUGAGAGUGCAGACUGAGAGCAGGGACAGUGAGAGUGCAGACUGAGAGCAGGGACAGU